rnacentral:rRNA from 1 species
ACGUACACUCCUGCGGGAGGCAGCAGUGGGGAAUAUUGGACAAUGGGCGCAAGCCUGAUCCAGCCAUGCCGCGUGAGUGAUGAAGGCCCUAGGGUUGUAAAGCUCUUUCACCGGUGAAGAUAAUGACGGUAACCGGAGAAGAAGCCCCGGCUAACUUCGUGCCAGCAGCCGCGGUAAUACGAAGGGGGCUAGCGUUGUUCGGAUUUACUGGACGUAAAGCGCACGUAGGCGGACUAUUAAGUCAGGGGUGAAAUCCCGGGGCUCAACCCCGGAACUGCCUUUGAUACUGGUAGUCUUGAGUUCGAGAGAGGUGAGUGGAAUUCCGAGUGUAGAGGUGAAAUUCGUAGAUAUUCGGAGGAACACCAGUGGCGAAGGCGGCUCACUGGCUCGAUACUGACGCUGAGGUGCGAAAGCGUGGGGAGCAAACAGGAUUAGAUACCCCGGUAGUCCC